GACGAACGCUGGCGGCGUGCUUAACACAUGCAAGUCGAACGGGAUUUAGUAGACAGAAGCCUCGGCUAAAGAUUACUAAUGAGAGUGGCGAACGGGUGAGUAACGCGUGAGCAACCUGCCUAUGACAGUGGGAUAGCCUCGGGAAACCGGGAUUAAUACCGCAUAAAAUCGUAGAAACACAUGUUUUAACGGUCAAAGAUUUAUCGGUCAUAGAUGGGCUCGCGUCUGAUUAGCUAGUUGGUGAGAUAACAGCCCACCAAGGCGACGAUCAGUAGCCGGUCUGAGAGGAUGAACGGCCACAUUGGAACUGAGACACGGUCCAAACUCCUACGGGAGGCAGCAGUGGGGGAUAUUGCACAAUGGGGGAAACCCUGAUGCAGCGACGCCGCGUGAACGAAGAAGGUAUUCGUAUCGUAAAGUUCUGUCCUAUGGGAAGAUAAUGACAGUACCAUAGAAGAAAGCUCCGGCUAAAUACGUG
rnacentral:rRNA from 1 species